rfam:Bifidobacterium asteroides PRL2011, complete genome.
GGGGCUGAUCGGUUUCGACGGUGACCUGUUCGUCGCAGGGAAGCGUGCCGAGAACGCGGGGGUCCGCUCGUUAAUGUCCUCCCGCAAACAACAAGUGCUAAAUCUAACCGCACUGAGUUCGCUCUCGCUGCCUGAGCUUCGCGCCAGGAUUAACCAGUGAGCAGCUGCUCCGUUCACUCCCCUUCGCCUUCGGGGGGAUGCUGAGCGUCAUUAAGAAGACUUGCCUGAACUGCUGCGCCACAGGGCGGUUCGGGGACUUUUACUGCGGCUAUGCCCGCCACCGGUUGUCUGCGACACAGGUGGGGGCAGACAGAUAGCCACAAAGGCCAGCAGACUACGCACGUAGAAGACUGAGGGUGCGGUCACCGGACCGGGGUUCAAUUCCCCGCAGCUCCACAA